rnacentral:rRNA from 1 species
GAAUAUAAUUAAUUAUUAAUUUUGUUUAUUUAUAAUUUAAAAUUAAAAAAAAAAAUUUAAAUUUUAUUAGUAGAAAAGAAAAAAAUUGUUUUAUGAUAGUUUAUUAGUAUUGUGAAAGAAUUUAUUAAAAUAUUGAAAAGAAAAAUUUAAUUUUUGUACCUUGUGUAUCAGGGUUAAUUAAAUAUAAUUUUAUUAUUAAAAUUUCUCGAAUUUAAAAGAGUUAAUUAUUUAUAUAUUUAAUUGUUAAAUAAAUUUUUAUAAUAAAUAAUUAGUAAUGAAACGUUAUUCGUUUUUAAAUAUAUCUAGUUUUUAAAGAAAAAAAUUUAAUUUUAUUAUUAAUAUUUAAAAAUUUUAUUUAUUAGUUUUUUAUUUAUUAAUAUUAAAUUUUAUUAGGGAUAAGCUUAAUAAAAAAUUAUUAUAAUUAAUUUUAGUAUUAAAUAAUUUGUAAGAUUAGAAUUUUUUAUAUAUAAAAAAAUGUUAUAAUUGAUUAUAUUUAUUUUUUAUUUUUAUUUAAUUUAAUUUUUUUAUUUAAAUUUAUAUUUUAAUUUUAAAAAUGUAGUAUUUAUGAUUAAAUUAGUAUAAUAUUUUAUGUUUAAUUAAAUUAAUAAAAUUUAGUUUAAUUUAAGGAAUUCGGCAAAUAAAUUUUUCACCUGUUUAUUAAAAACAUGUCUUUUUGAUUAUAAUUUAAAGUCUAAUCUGCCCACUGAUAAGUUAAAUGGCCGCGGUAUUUUGACCGUGCAAAGGUAGCAUAAUAAUUAGUUUUUUAAUUGGAAGCUGGAAUGAAUGAUUGAAUGAGAAAAUUACUGUCUCAAGUUAAUUUAUUUAGAAUUUUAUAUUUAAGUUAAAAAGCUUAAAUUUUAUUAAAAGACGAGAAGACCCUAUAGAGUUUUAUAAAUUAAUUUAUUUAUAUUUUUAGUUUUAAAUAUUUAAAUUUUAAUAAUUUAUUUUGUUGGGGUGAUAGAAAAAUUUAUUAAACUUUUUUUAUAUAUUUA